ACGCUCGACACCUACGGGAGCAGCAGUAGGGAAUCUUCCACAAUGGACGCAAGUCUGAUGGAGCAACGCCGCGUGAGUGAAGAAGGUCUUCGGAUCGUAAAACUCUGUUGUUAGAGAAGAACACGAGUGAGAGUAACUGUUCAUUCGAUGACGGUAUCUAACCAGCAAGUCACGGCUAACUACGUGCAAGCAGCCGCGGUAAUCUGAGCGGGCUGGCAAGGC
rnacentral:rRNA from 1 species